GGGCCAGCGGGACAGACGCGGCGCGGCCGGCGCAGCUGCUAUAAAUACGGCCGGGCGCCGCGGCCUCCGGGGGGCCGGCCUGGGGGGAGGCGGGGCGCCGCCGGCGCCGCCCACUUAACCCCUCGGGGCCCGGCGCCGCCCGCCCCGGCUGGCUCCCUCCCCGCCCCCGCGCGCCCGGCUGAGUCACCGCCGCCCGCGCACGUCCCUCUCCGCCCUUCCGGGGCUUCCUGCGGCCCCGCGCCGACGCCCGGGCCGGGCCGGCGGGUGACAAGUGUUCUCUCCGGGGGCGGCCCUGCCGCGCGCCGGGAUGGGGGCCUCCCGGGCCCGCCCACGGCCCCCCCCCCCGGGCCCGGCUGCUGAGCAAACCCCGGUGGGGGGAGCGCGGCGCCCGGACGGCAUCGCCCCUUUCGCGCCAGACUCCCAACUGCGUCCGCCCCGCCGCGGGCCGCUCCGCAAAGGCUCUAACCCUCUUUAUCUCACUAGCCCGGGGGGUGCUGGCUAACCCCACCGGGGAGCCUUUCCAAACAGCAGGGUCUGGACCGCGGGACCGGAGCAGACCAGCUCUCCGGGUCCGAGGCGGCUUUUCUUCUUGGCCCCUCACCCGGGCCCGAGGCCAGGAACGCGCUGGGCUGGCUCGGGCCGGAGUUUCGGAGUUUCGGACGGGACCGGCGCGGUCAGCAACUUUCGCCCGCGUCCAGGCGCGGUUUCAGUUUCCGAUUCAGACUCGGGUUCCGGCGCUGCGCUCCGAAGGGGCCGGCCUGCUCUGGGUUUGGACACCCGGCCCCCUUCCUGCCGACGGACGCGGGGAAGGCAGAAGACGGAGGUAACAAUAAUCAUUGGAGAAUUAGCAUUCAAGCAGGAGGUGUAAUUUAUUUUUUAAAGCAAAAAACAAACAAAAAUCAUAAACUCCAAGGAUCUGGCUACUGUGGCUCAUGCUCUUGCAUGAAUCCUGGAAUUCUAGAGUGGCCCUGGAGCCCGGGAGCAUGGCAGCAUCCCCGAGAAAUAAACAAUACACUGAAGACACCUACGCCUGUCGGACCGAGAUCAGCUUUAUUACCCACGCUUUAUGCCAUUGAGUGUGAGUCCAUUACUGGCGUUACGGUCCUUUUUUUGAGUUUAGGGACUGGAUGGACAGUAUCCUUCCUGGCCCUUCCUUCUUCAGGCAAACCAAGUUGCUCCUGGUGAACCUGACCCUGGUGAUGAAGGCUCAAACUCAGGAGGAACUAAGGCAGUGGACGGACUCAGGACAUGUGAAAUCCCUUGAAUAAAAAUUCAUUAACUUUAAAUAAGGGUGCCUAUGUUACAAAUAAUAAAAGCCCUUUAUACUUUUUGUAAAGUAAAAAAAAAA